AAGUUAUGUAAAAGCGGUUCAAAGUUAGUAUUUCGUGGAUUUGUUCAAUUUUUUCUAAUCUAGAUUGUUAUAGAUUAUAGUUUAUGAAUAGUAAAUAAAAAGCGGCUAUAACCGUCACAACCAUUCAUACCUUUAUGAUUAUGGUGCUGAUUGAUAAAGAUUUUGGGAAUGUGACACUAUUAGGCACUUUUGGAAAAUGUUUUGACGUUUUAGGCACUUCCAAGAGUUUAGGCACUUUACUUUACUUUUGGUGAAAAAAUGGACAAAAUUACCCCUGCGAUUUUGACGUAAAUUAACUAACCUUCCUUUUUUAUUGUGGCUGAUUAUGUUCUUUUUAAUAUAGACCGUUGAAUUAAAAAUAUAUAUUUUCAGAUCUAUGGCUAAGAUGAAAUAAAAAUAAAUUAUUCUCUGGUUAUCUAAAUCUGAUAAGAACAUCUCUCUCUUCUUCUCUACAAAGAACCAUGUCUUUUCUAUCACUCUCUCUAAAUAAAUCCAAAAUUUAAAUGGCGAGUUGAAGAUUUGUAAGUGCUGAGUGUGUGUGCUGAGAGCAACGAUGGAGUUUGUGAAGAUAGUGUACCUUAUGUAUUUACUUUACGGAGAAGCCUCUCUAGAUUUCGAUUUUGUGUAGGUUUGUUACCUUUAUUUAAUGAACACAAUUUUGUUUUCUUUUU
rnacentral:sRNA from 1 species